rnacentral:rRNA from 1 species
CAGCCGCCGCGGGAAUACGUAGGUCUCGAGCGUUGUCCGGAUUUAUUGGGCGUAAAGCGAGCGCAGGCGGUUAGAUAAGUCUGAAGUUAAAGGCUGUGGCUUAACCAUAGUACGCUUUGGAAACUGUUUAACUUGAGUGCAGAAGGGGAGAGUGGAACUCCAUGUGUAGCGGUGAAAUGCGUAGAUAUAUGGAGGAACACCGGUGGCGAAAGCGGCUCUCUGGCUUGUAACUGACGCUGAGGCUCGAAAGCGUGGGGAGCAAACAGGAUUAGAUACCCCUGUAGUCCCUGUCUCUUAUACA